GGCGAGAUGGCCGAGCGGUCUAAGGCGCCAGACUAAGGUGACAUCGUUUGCUAUCUGGUCCGAAAGGGCGUGGGUUCGAAUCCCACUCUCGUCA